AUUGACCAGGGAUCUUUUUAAAAUGCAGGUUCUGAUUCAGGAGAUCUGGAGUGGGGCCCAAGAUCCUGCAUUUCUAACAAGCUACCAAGUGAUGCUGA
rnacentral:pre_miRNA from 1 species